rnacentral:misc_RNA from 1 species
UUUCCGUAGGUGAACCUGCGGAAGGAUCAUUACCGAAUUGUCAAACGGGUUGUUGCUGGUCUUCAAACGGGGACAUGUGCACGCUCUGUUUACACAUCCACUCACACCUGUGCACCCUCCGUAGUUCUAUGGUCUGGGGGACCCUGUCUUCCUGCCGUGGUUCUACGUCUUUACACACACUCUGUAAUAAAGUCUUAUGGAAUGUAUGCCGCAUCUAACGCAAUACAAUACAACUUUCAGCAACGGAUCUCUUGGCUCUC